ACCUCGGUAGCUCGGUGGCUAGCGCGUCAAGCUAGCAAUCCGGGGCUCGAGGGUUCGAAUCUCCGCCUCGGGUG